rnacentral:rRNA from 1 species
GAUGAACGCUGGCGGCGUGCUUAACACAUGCGAGUCGAACGAGAAGUGAAGACGGAAACCUUCGGGCGGAAGGCUUUAUUUCGAGUGGCGGACGGGUGAGUAACGCGUGGGUAACCUGCCUCAUACAGGGGGAUAACAGUUGGAAACGACUGUUAAUACCGCAUAAGACCACAGCACCGCAUGGUGCGGGGGUAAAAACUCCGGUGGUAUGAGAUGGACCCGCGUUCGAUUAGCCAGUUGGCGGGGUAACGGCCCACCAAAGCGACGAUCGAUAGCCGAUCUGAGAGGAUGACCGGCCACAUUGGGACUGAGACACGGCCCAAACUCCUACGGGAGGCAGCAGUGGGGAAUAUUGCACAAUGGGGGAAACCCUGAUGCAGCGACGCCGCGUGAGUGAAGAAGUAUUUCGGUAUGUAAAGCUCUAUCAGCAGGGAAGAAAACGACGGUACCUGAGUAAGAAGCCCCGGCUAACUACGUG